GUUAUUAUUAGUUUACCUUCAAACUGUUAAUGCUUUACAUACAUGACUAUUUAUUAAAUCAGAACGUGCAUGAAUGUGACAAUAACUAAAAUGACCUUCAAAGCUGGGGAUGAUCCAUGUUAUGUUUUAUCAAUGAAAGUAUAGGUAUGAAAGGUAAGAAUUGCCAAUUCUCCUAUUUUCACAAAAUUUUCCAAAUACACAGUAGAUAGAUUAUUUUUUAAUAGUCAAUUGCGGAG
rnacentral:lncRNA from 1 species